GCAAAGUGAGAUUACAGGCUCAGUGUUUUGCAAAGACCCCAAAUGGAGGCGUCUGCUGUGCUGUAGCCUGGCAUCCUUGACUGAAAACUUCUACUAAAUGGUUGGCCACCUGAGUCAUGAACAGCCUGGGCAGGAAAAGGGAUCAACAGCCGGGGUGAAGCGCAUCGAUCAAGGACGCCGCUUUGCCCAAGAGGACCUCCGGCGCCCAGCCGACGCUUGUUUGCUGCUGGCAGCACAAGGGCAGUGGAUUCCGUUAAAACAAAGAGACGGCACGGGGCUCCCGCAGUUCUCGUGCUGAAGGUGUUAUUUGAUUGAAAUCCAAUGGUCGCUCCGUCAGGAGACGCAUUCUAAAAACCAUGACACAGCAGGGACACGAGUGGCCAAUAAAGACAUGCUACU